rnacentral:rRNA from 1 species
UACGAAGGACCCAAGCGUUAUCCGGAUUUAUUGGGUUUAAAGGGUGCGUAGGCGGGUUAUUAAGUCAGUGGUGAAAGCUCCUAGCUCAACUGGGAAAUUGCCAUUGAUACUGAUGAUCUUGAGUAUGAUUGAGGUUGGCGGAAUGUGUCAUGUAGCGGUGAAAUGCUUAGAUAUGACACAGAACACCGAUUGCGAAGGCAGCUAACUAAGCCAUAACUGACGCUGAUGCACGAAAGCGUGGGGAGCAAACAGG